CAGAAUCCGAAGCAGCUCCAGGCUCCAAGCCGUCGGCACAGAGCCCGACGCGGGGCUCGAACUCACCAACCGUGAGAUCACGACCUGAGCCGAAGUCGGACGCUGAACUGACUGAGCCGCCCAGGCGCCCCAGAGCUCACUCGUCUUGCUGGACUGGAGCUCCGACCCCCCUCCGGGCUCCCGCGACAACCAUGACCUUGCCGUGACCUUGACGAGGCCAGGUCCAUCACAUUCGCGGGGCCACACGCCGCGGUCUCUGACGCGGACUUCCUUUGCCCAGGGGUCCUCGGUGCUGCCCCAGGUGCAGCGUCUCCCCGUCUCCGAGGCUCGGCGACACGCCUGUGUGUGGGCCACACGGUCCUUUCCGCCGCCGCUGGAGCCGGAACCGCCACGGCGCGUUCCGCAGCCACCGUUGUACGUUCCCGCCCACAGCCGACACGGCUUCCGGUUCCGCCACGGCCCGGCGGUGCGUGUUGUUUGCCGCUCUGGGACGGGGGCCGCCCCGGUGGCUGCCGGGUGGCGUCUCUGGUGGUUUUGAUGUGCAUUUCCCAGUGGUUCGCGUGUGGAGCGUUACUGAGGCUGCCGGACUUCGUGAUGAGACACUCGGCCGGGAGGCCAGCGGCUCAUCCCGCGAGUGUCCCUCGAGGCUGGGAGUCCUGGGGCGGGGCCGGCCCGUGGUCAGCUCCUCAGACCACCCCCCUCCAGCCACGCGAGGCACCUUACAGUCCCCGUGUUACAGGUUCUCUGCGCUCCAGAACCACACGUGACCCUGCGGAGAUGACCGUCCUCGAGGUCAGCAACGUGCUACCAAUUUCACCUGAUCACUGUGUGCAGAAUCCGGAAAGCCUAGGUGUGGUCCCCAAGGGUAAUCUCCAAAGGGUGCGUCUUCCGUGGCCCAGCUGUGAUUUCAACCCCGCGUGCUUGCUCGUAGCGCCCCAGCCUCCACGUCACGUUCUUUACGAGUUAACGGUGCAUUUACUGAAGGCAGAGUUAGCCCUCUGUCAGGACACACGUGUGAGAGUGGGUUUCUGCCUGGCGCAAUUCGAUAUACUGGCUAUUAAGCCGCCAAAAGACGGCUGAGGUCUAGACUCGCUUGCUGACGGACCCUGGCAGUGCGUUGUUUGGGAUGUGUUCGGAUGCAAGGAAACAUGACAUCCACUCAGUUCUGUCCCAGAUGCACCGAAGAAUUCGAGACCGGAGCCCAGAAUGGGGAGGGAGAGUUGACUGAGUAGAGGGAGAACUCGACGCCAAUGUCCUAUUCGACAGAGACCGCAGCAACCUGGAUGCCUCGCGGACGGCAGAGGGGAGCUUUGGAAAAUUCAUUCCACGUGUGACGGGAGACCCCCAACUGUGGGAAUGGACGCGAGAACUGGAAGAUGCACUCCCCGAAGACCCGGGCGCCUGCUGCUGUCUCCCUCUGACGUCCGCAGCACGAGGCUUUGUCACGUGUGGCCACGGCCUGGCUGACACGGAGCGCCAGUGCCCAGACGCUGCGAAGAGAAAGAGACAGAGUGCAAGCAGGGGAGGGGCAGAGAGAGAGGGAGACACAGGAUCCGAAGCAGGCUCCAGGCUUCGAGCCGUCAGCACGGAGCCCGACGCGGGACUUGAACCCACGAACCGGGAGAUCCUGACCAGAGCUGAAGUCAGACGCCCAACCGACCGGGCCACCCAGGUGCCAUGUCUUUUCUCUUUAGAAGAUUGCUUUAUUAUCCUAAAUUAUGGGGGGCUGAAUUAUUCUGUAAGUUGUGCUAAUUGUCUCUCAGAGCAUCUGCUGUCCUCAUCUGCCUUGCACAUUUGGUGUGUGACUCACAGGGAGGGCCAUCCUUGGUCCCUUCUGUCCUCAUCGUUCCACUGCUGCUUCUUUAUGCCUGGUCGCGGCGACCUCCACCUGGCCCACUCAGCUCCGCGGUUCGAAACCAGGUCUUAAGUUUGGAAACUUGAGGCUCUUGUCCGCAGGAACGUUUCGGAUCCAGAUCCUGAGCCGGCGGGUAGUGUGGCCCAGGCCCUGCCUGUGUAGACAUCCCUAAUCCCUUCUGCUGCUUUGGGCCACAGCUUAAUGUAGGAG